rnacentral:misc_RNA from 1 species
GAUGAAGAACGCAGCGAAAUGCGAUAGUAAUGUGAAUUGCAGAAUUCAGUGAAUCAUCGAAUCUUUGAACGCAUCUUGCGCUCCUUGGUAUUCUGAGGAGCAUGCCUGUUUGAGUGUCAUUAAAUUCUCAACUACACUGACUUUGAAUUGGUGUGGCUUGGAUUUGGGGGGAAAAUUGUUGUGGGCUUUUUGUAUAGUCUGCUCCCCUGAAAUUGAUUAGCGGUACCUUUGUGGAACUGUCUACAGGUGUGAUAAUUAUCUACAUCUUAGACAUCUGCUGGAAUGCUGCUUUCUAAACCUUACUUGUAUUGACAAUCUUGACCUCAAAUCAGGUAGGACUACCCGCUGAACUUAAGCAUAUCAAUAAGCGGAGGA